GUGCAAAUUCUCACGGCAGGAGGAUCUCCAGUGAAGCCGCCUCCUUGUUGGGUUCACAAGGAAACAGCCCCACUCCACCAAGGCACAGAAUCCCGGACUGAUCCUGAGCGGACAUAAAUGUAGAUGUCUGUUUAUGUAUCGGGAUCUGGCCCCAGCAUGGUUUUACCAUACAAGUUGUGUGUGGGUUCAGGUCCAGCCCGAGGGAUGAGUGCAUAAUCCAAGCUGACCUUGUGAACAUAACAGACCCGGCAGGUCACAUGGCUGGAUACAGUAGCGCUGUCGUGGCGCUGCCUGUAGGGGGAAGCGGCCAUCUUGGCCCCUGCUCGUCCUCCGAAGACCAGAUACUGAAGAGAAGGAAGCCAGCAAUGACGGAUGUGAGGGGCAAGUCCAGUGGGAGAAUGAACCGGGGUCUGGCCUUCUGCUCCCUCGAGUCAGCUGCAGGAGACGCCCCUGGGGCAUAAAAGUGGACGGGCAAGGAGAGGGACGACGGUUCGCAGGACAAUCCAGACGUCCAAGGAAGGUGAAGCCUGGAGGCCCUGCAGCAUCCUGGGGCUCGCCUGGAUUGGGCUCCAUUCAUAAGAUCUUGAGCAUGGACUGGACUUUGAAAAUGGUGCCAAAACAUGGCACCUCUUGCAUGUGGUCUCAAUGGACUAUUGUUGUACACUUUGCUAAUUGUGCAUAGAUAUGGCAAUCCGUUACUGUACUGUAUGCAAGAAAAUAAUUUUAUGGUGCAAUUGCAUGUGACAUUAAAGCAUCAUUGUAACAUUGAAACAAUUGUGACUCAUGAGCUUGGGUCUAAAGAGGUCAUGACUAUCAAGACAAGUUAAGUCAGGUUUAUUGUCAUGAGUAGGUACAUAGACAAACACACAAAACCAU